rnacentral:rRNA from 1 species
GCGGACAGAUGGGAGCUUGCUCCCUGAUGUUAGCGGCGGACGGGUGAGUAACACGUGGGUAACCUGCCUGUAAGACUGGGAUAACUCCGGGAAACCGGGGCUAAUACCGGAUGCUUGUUUGAACCGCAUGGUUCAAACAUAAAAGGUGGCUUCGGCUACCACUUACAGAUGGACCCGCGGCGCAUUAGCUAGUUGGUGAGGUAAUGGCUCACCAAGGCAACGAUGCGUAACCGACCUGAGAGGGUGAUCGGCCACACUGGGACUGAGACACGGCCCAGACUCCUACGGGAGGCAGCAGUAGGGAAUCUUCCGCAAUGGACGAAAGUCUGACGGAGCAACGCCGCGUGAGUGAUGAAGGUUUUCGGAUCGUAAAGCUCUGUUGUUAGGGAAGAACAAGUACCGUUCGAAUAGGGCGGUACCUUGACGGUACCUAACCAGAAAGCCACGGCUAACUACGUGCCAGCAGCCGCGGUAAUACGUAGGUGGCAAGCGUUGUCCGGAAUUAUUGGGCGUAAAGGGCUCGCAGGCGGUUCCUUAAGUCUGAUGUGAAAGCCCCCGGCUCAACCGGGGAGGGUCAUUGGAAACUGGGGAACUUGAGUGCAAAAGAAGAGAGUGGAAUUCCACGUGUAGCGGUGAAAUGCGUAUAGAUGUGGAGGAACACCAGUGGCGAAAGCGACUCUCUGGUCUGUAACUGACGCUGAGGAGCGAAAGCGUGGGGAGCGAACAGGAUUACAUACCCUGGUAGUCCACGCCGUAAACGAUGAGUGCUAAGUGUUAGGGGGUUUCCGCCCCUUAGUGCUGCAGCUAACGCAUUAAGCACUCCGCCUGGGGAGUACGGUCGCAAGACUGAAACUCAAAGGAAUUGACGGGGGCCCGCAC